rnacentral:misc_RNA from 1 species
UCCGGUUUGUCACCGGCAGUCUCCCUAGAGUGCCCUUGCGUAGCAACUAGGGACAAGGGUUGCGCUCGUUGCGGGACUUAACCCAACAUCUCACGACACGAGCUGACGACAGCCAUGCAGCACCUGUGUUCUGGUUCCCGAAGGCACUUCCGCAUCUCUGCAGAAUUCCAGACAUGUCAAGACCAGGUAAGGUUCUUCGCGUUGCAUCGAAUUAAACCACAUGCUCCACCGCUUGUGCGGGUCCCCGUCAAUUCAUUUGAGUUUCAACCUUGCGGCCGUACUCCCCAGGCGGAGAACUUAACGCGUUAGCCACGACACCGAAGGGCAGACCCCUCCGACAUCCAGUUCUCAUCGUUUAUGGCGUGGACUAC